rnacentral:rRNA from 2 species
GCAGUCGACGCGUUGGCCCAAUUGAUUGAUGGUGCUUGCACCUGAUUGAUUUUGGUCGCCAACGAGUGGCGGACGGGUGAGUAACACGUAGGUAACCUGCCCAGAAGCGGGGGACAACAUUUGGAAACAGAUGCUAAUACCGCAUAACAGCGUUGUUCGCAUGAACAACGCUUAAAAGAUGGCUUCUCGCUAUCACUUCUGGAUGGACCUGCGGUGCAUUAGCUUGUUGGUGGGGUAACGGCCUACCAAGGCGAUGAUGCAUAGCCGAGUUGAGAGACUGAUCGGCCACAAUGGGACUGAGACACGGCCCAUACUCCUACGGGAGGCAGCAGUAGGGAAUCUUCCACAAUGGGCGCAAGCCUGAUGGAGCAACACCGCGUGAGUGAAGAAGGGUUUCGGCUCGUAAAGCUCUGUUGUUAAAGAAGAACACGUAUGAGAGUAACUGUUCAUACGUUGACGGUAUUUAACCAGAAAGUCACGGCUAACUACGUGCCAGCAGCCGCGGUAAUACGUAGGUGGCAAGCGUUAUCCGGAUUUAUUGGGCGUAAAGAGAGUGCAGGCGGUUUUCUAAGUCUGAUGUGAAAGCCUUCGGCUUAACCGGAGAAGUGCAUCGGAAACUGGAUAACUUGAGUGCAGAAGAGGGUAGUGGAACUCCAUGUGUAGCGGUGGAAUGCGUAGAUAUAUGGAAGAACACCAGUGGCGAAGGCGGCUACCUGGUCUGCAACUGACGCUGAGACUCGAAAGCAUGGGUAGCGAACAGGAUUAGAUACCCUGGUAGUCCAUGCCGUAAACGAUGAGUGCUAGGUGUUGGAGGGUUUCCGCCCUUCAGUGCCGGAGCUAACGCAUUAAGCACUCCGCCUGGGGAGUACGACCGCAAGGUUGAAACUCAAAGGAAUUGACGGGGGGCCCGCACAAGCGGUGGAGCAUGUGGUUUAAUUCGAAGCUACGCGAAGAACCUUACCAGGUCUUGACAUCUUGCGCCAACCCUAGAGAUAGGGCGUUUCCUUCGGGAACGCAAUGACAGGUGGUGCAUGGUCGUCGUCAGCUCGUGUCGUGAGAUGUUGGGUUAAGUCCCGCAACGAGCGCAACCCUUGUUACUAGUUGCCAGCAUUAAGUUGGGCACUCUAGUGAGACUGCCGGUGACAAACCGGAGGAAGGUGGGGACGACGUCAGAUCAUCAUGCCCCUUAUGACCUGGGCUACACACGUGCUACAAUGGACGGUACAACGAGUCGCGAACUCGCGAGGGCAAGCAAAUCUCUUAAAACCGUUCUCAGUUCGGACUGCAGGCUGCAACUCGCCUGCACGAAGUCGGAAUCGCUAGUAAUCGCGGAUCAGCAUGCCGCGGUGAAUACGUUCCCGGGCCUUGUACACACCGCCCGUCACACCAUGAGAGUUUGUAACACCCAAAGUCGGUGGGGUAACCUUUUAGGAGCCAGC